GCCCGGAGCCAGCCGAGCUCCCUGCGGACACGGGCGAGGCUGAGGCAACACAAUGGGCCAAGCUCUCCUCUCUCGUCUGGCUUUUCCCUGGAGGAAGAACUUUCAUUGAUUGCUAAAUGGAAGGUGGAAGAGUGAAAUCAUUUAAUUGUGUGACUCCUCUGAUGCGUUACUGCUUAGACUCUAAAACCAUCAGCAUCCUGACUUCCUUCAAGGUCACAUGGAGAAGUGUCCACCACCCUUUGGCCCACUUUUUCUGCCAUGUGGGAUCC